rnacentral:rRNA from 1 species
UGGUAAUUCUAGAGCUAAUACAUGAGCAAUAUCUCAACUGUUUUAGAAGAGAUGCAUUUAUUAGAUAAAAAACCAAUACAUGCUUUUAAAGUAUGGAAGUUGGUGAUUUACAAUAACUUAGCAAAUCGCAUAAUGUAAAUAGGCGAUAAAUCAUUCAAGUUUCUGACCUAUCAGCUUUCGACGGUAUGGUAUUGGCUUACCGUGGCAGUGACGGUUAACGGGGGAUUAGGGUUCGAUUCCGGAGAGGGAGCCUGAGAAACGGCUACCACAUCUAAGGAAGGCAGCAGGCGCGCAAAUUACCCAAUUCUAACAGCAUAAGAGAGGUAGUGACAAGAAAUAACAAUACAAGGCAGUUAAAAUGCUUUGUAAUUGGAAUGAUAGAAAUUUAAACACUUUUUAGAGUAUCAAUUGGAGGGCAAGUCUGGUGCCAGCAGCCGCGGUAAUUCCAGCUCCAAUAGCGUAUAUUAAAAUUGUUGCAGUUAAAAAGCUCGUAGUUGAAUUUCUGCUAAAAAUAACCGGUCUGCU